rnacentral:rRNA from 1 species
AUUGAACGCUGGCGGCAGGCCUAACACAUGCAAGUCGAGCGGGGUUUUCAGACCUAGCGGCGGACGGGUGAGUAAUGCGUAGGAAGCCACCCGAGAGAGGGGGAUACCAGUUGGAAACGACUGUUAAUACCGCAUAAUGUCUACGGACCCAAGUGUGGGACCUUCGGGCCACAUGCUAUCGGAUGCGCCUACGUGGGAUUAGCUAGUUGGUGAGGUAAUGGCUCACCAAGGCGACGAUCCCUAGCUGGUUUGAGAGGAUGAUCAGCCUCACUGGAACUGAGACACGGUCCAGACUCCUACGGGAGGCAGCAGUGGGGAAUAUUGGACAAUGGGCGCAAGCCUGAUCCAGCCAUGCCGCGUGUGUGAAGAAGGCCUUCGGGUUGUAAAGCACUUUCAGUAGGGAGGAAGCGAUGUGUGUUAAUAGUACACAGCGUUGACGUUACCUACAGAAGAAGCACCGGCUAACUCUGUGCCAGCCGCCGCUGUAAUAC